CAGCACCAGUUACUGUUAGAAAACACACUUGAGUUCAGUUUCUGGGAGUUUAGUCUGACUGAAGAUGCAUCUGGUCAGUGUAGAGUUGGAAGAUGCAAUGGCCCUGCUGAAUCAUCAUGUGUGUCCUGUCAAUAACUGGUGGAUCACGCUAAAGUUCUUCACUAUGUUGGAGUGGGUCUGGUCUUCCCCGGAAGUCUGCUGUUUGUGUGUGUGCAGACGCUGCUGUCGUAACGUACGGCUGUCACACGGACAGACUUCCACCCCGCACACCUGCGACUGGCGC